rnacentral:lncRNA from 1 species
AGACUCAGAUAUGACAUAGAAGUUGGAAUUAUCAAAUAGGGAGUUAAAAUAUCUAUAAUUACCAUGAUAAGAAUUCUAAUGGGAAAAGUAGAGAACUUGCAGUAACAGAUGGGUAAUGCAAGCAAACAGGUGGAAACUCUAAGAAAAAAUAAAAAGGAAAUGCUAAAAAUAAAAAACACUGAGAGAAAUGAAGAAUGCCUUUGAUGGGCUUACCAAGAGAAUUAGUAAACCUGAAGAUAUGUCAACAGAAACUUCACAAACUGAAAUACGAGGAGAAAAAUGCAUGAAAAAACAGAACACUCAAGAAGUGUACGACAAUUUCGAAAAGUACAAUAUCUAUCUAAUUGGAAUACCAGAAGGAAAAAAAGAUAGAGAAAGCAGAAGAAAUAUUUGAAGUAAUAAUGGCUAGAAACUUUCCAGAAUUAAUGACAUCCAUCAGUCCACAGAUACAGGAAGCUCAGAAUACCAGACAGGAUAAUUACCAAAAAAAUCUACACCUAAGCAUCUCCAUUCAAACUAUAGAAAACCAAAUACAAAGAGAAAGUUUUCAGAGCAGCAAGAAGUAAAAAAUACCUUACCUACAGAAGAAAAGAAAAAAGAAAGAAAUAUUGCCUCCUUUUCAUCAGAAACCAUGCAAACAAGGAAAGAAUGGAGUAAAAUAUUGAGUGUGAAAAGUCAAAUUCACUAAUCUACAAUUCUAUAUUUGGCAAAAUUAUGCUUCAAAAGUGAAAGAGAAAUACAGAAUUUCUCAGAAAAAUAAAUGCAAGGGAAUUCUUUGCGAACAAACCAGUCCUGCAAGAUAAAGUUAAAAGAAGCUCUACGAGAAGAAAAAUGCUAUAGGUCAGAAACUUGGAUCAACAUAAAUAAGGGAAAAUAGUCAGAAGAAAAAUAACAGACGAUAAAUAAUAUAUUUUAUUUUUUGGAUUCUUAAUUGAUAUAGUAGGAAACUUUCUGUUCAAAAUUAUGAUAAUAAUAGUGUGCUAUGUGAUUAUACUAUGUGGAUAAGUGAAAUGAAUCAUAGCAAAAUCAUAAGGGGGGAGAAUUAGGAAUACUGUUAUAAGUGAUGUGCGCUAUCCAUGAAGUGGCGUAAUGGUAA